AAUGAAGAUGCUAAGAGAAUCUCUUCUGGCUCAUGCAGGUGACGUGAGGACCAAAGGCUACAGAACAUCAGAGUUGAGUGUGACCAGCAGGUGUGCGUACAGAGCCUGCCAUGUGUCCACUCACUGGUGCUGAGAAUCUCAACAGGCAGCAAUGCCUUUCAUUCCAACGUGGUAGCAGAUAGAACUGGCACAUAUCCCUGGAAGAUGUAGUAAGAAGGGCACCACCUCAUGCUCAGGUAUGAAAGACAAAGAUCACGCCACAUCCUGAAAGUUGUACUGAGUGACCCAGGGAGAGGGAGAAGAGCUGGAGUUUCAUGUGAGAUAAAAAAAAACCCAGAAAUGGCAGGUGUGGGAAGGGCAUCUGAACACAAAACUCCCGGCCUAUCCCCUUGUUUUCUUCCUGCCUGGCUGGUUCUCAUAUCUCCCAAUGCACAUUAGCCAAGCGCUGUGUACCAGAGAGCUGGGGGAGGGGAUGUGUGCCAUAAACCCUCCAGUGCCCACCACGGGCACAAGACACUUUAAAGGAAAAGUGGUCCCACUAGUUCUUUCCUACACAAGCCAUAAACGCUGCUGCAGAGUGAUUUAUUAGAGCAAGCAGCCCUGCCCCAGCAGCCACAGCUGGCUGGCCUGGGGACAGCAUGCAAACAGAAGAUAGCCACACAGGGCACAGGGGGCCUCCAGCCGUACCUGCAGGGACUCUCAUCAGUCUGGGUAAAUAAAUAAAGGUAGGUCACUCCCCAUGACGUCUGUUGGGCUCCUGAGGGACUGUUCAUGUUCCAACCAACCAAUCCCAUCCAAGGGCAAGAGGUCCCAGCAUCCAGUUAGGGGCCUAGGCUCAGAACAGUCACGAGCCACACAGGCAGGUGCACACAGAAAGCUCCUUACCUAGAAAUCUGGGCCAGGUCCAGCCCUACAUCAAGGCAGUGCUUCCUCUGCAGGACUGAGAAUUGUAUUGUUCAUGCUACUCAGAAGAAAGAAGGAAAGAAAAAUUUAAAAAGCUCACUUUUUCUUAAAAGUUCCCUCAUCGCUAAGAUUGACCAAAGCAGAUGGUAAGGUUCUCUUGAGGUUUGUGACCUUAGAGAAUAUUGAUGGUUGUGACUUUUGUAGGAGAUAAAAAUAAACUUGCUAGGUCAUCUUCCAGACUAUUAUUUACUUUUAAGUUUCUUUCCAAAUAUUAUCUAGUCAAAAUGUUGUCUUGUUUAUGUGCAGGCUUUGGAAAAGCUGAGUUCUUUACCUGGGCCCUGUGAUUUGAAUGGCAUUUGACCCCUCAAUGAAGAGUGUGUGUGUGUGUGUGUGUGUGAGAGAGAGAGAGAGAGAGAGAGAGAGAGAGAAAUGGGGACUGAACUGACUCUGCAGACAUGCAGCCGUGACCUACCUAAUAGAGCUGUCCAUGAUAAACCCUUGGCUGAUUCUUUGACCCAACAUACACUGACUGAAACCAUGGCGUGCUGACUCUGUGCUGAGCAGGAGCCACAGACAAUCAAUCAGCAGGUUCCUGCCCUUCAAGAAAGCAGUGUCCACAGUGAGAACUGGAAGGGCGCAACAGAGCUAUGCAUCCAGAAUGAAGUGGGAUGCCACGGAGUCUGCAGAAGACACCACCCCCAGUCCUCCCUCGCCAUCUUCCAGGAUAAGUCUGAUAAAAUAUUAGCAGAUAACAGAAGGAGGUAGCAGACUCCUGAUUCAGGGAAUGGAACGUGUAUGUCAGGGAAUGGAGGUCACACUGUGUGAUUGGCUGGAGAGGGAGAAAGGUGACAGGAAGUGUUGGUGAGGGGCCCCAGGGAGCAGCAGUGGUAGAGAUGGGAAGGUGGGGAGGGUUUGUCGUUUAAGGGGGUGGUCAUGAUGGGCAGCCCUCUUGGUUGGCCAUCCCAUGGUCAUCCCACUCCUCCAGUUCUUUUUCACUUGCUGAUGUCAUGGAGUUGCCUGGGGAUUGGGGAGGGAAUGAGGCAAUACGGUCUUCCCAUUCCCCUUGCCAACCAGUGGUGUAGACAGGGCAUAUGAUGGAUUUCUAUCCAAAAAAUGUGAGUAGUCUGGAGGACAAUUGGAAAGAAUUUCUAUGCUUUAUGGGUGUUCUACGAGGAACAGUCCCUUUCCCUGCCUUUUGAUAUAGCCUCUUCACACAUCGUUUGGAGAUGCUGCCGGUGUCUUUGGACCCAAAGGAGAACACAGAGCUGACAGCAUCAGUCGACGUUAUUUGAAAGCAUGAGUGGUGAGAUGGAGAUGCAGCCAAGGUGCUGUGUUGAAUGCUCCAAAGAAGACAGAAUAACUGCAGGGAGACUGGAGGAGAACUCUUGGUCGGCCAGUGUUUGGGGGCCACUGCUUAGCUUUGGGGGAGCAUUUUCAGCACAGGGUACAGACACUGCAUGAAAGUCACUAAGCAGUUGUAAGCAUGGAAAAUGGUUCAGAAGAGGAACCCUAUAUAUUCAAGUCUGUUGGUCAAGAAAGGAGAAAGAUAAAAUGGUAGCCAAGAGAAGAGCAGUUCUGAGGAAAGGGAUGUAAUGGGUGAUCAAAGCCUAUGUGUGGGCAAAGAAAGGGCCAGAGAAGAUGCUGAGUGUGACAAGGAAGGGAGGUCCUGCUCAGGGGUAUGGGCACAGUAGAGGGAGGGAGGCUUCUGUUGGGAACUUAAGGAAAAGAAGAGCAAUUGAAAACAUGAAGAGAUAGUGAGACAGAGAGAAGGAUGGUGUGCAAAGCUCUCUGUGGUUUAGAAAGCAUGUUCACAUAGAUUAUAUCACUCAAGCCCUGUCAAAUGGGUGCUACCAUCAUCUCCACUUGAGAGGUAAAGAGUUUUGGGAAGGUCCACAGCAGACAACUACAGCACUAGCAUGAAUUUAAACCCUACUCAACCCAAAUUCUAUGUCCUUUCAAUGUGCUGGUUUGGGGAAGUUGAUACCUUCUGGGAACACAGAGCUGGAGAACAGCAGUGAUUCUGACACCAACUAUCUAUCAGAAUCCCUGUGCCACUUUAAAGGUAAAGAGUACUAGACUCGACCCUUUUGAUAACCUGUUGGUUAACGAGGUGUAUUUGUCUGUUUUCUGUUGCUAUAACAAAAUGCAUGAGACCUGGAAAUUUAUAAAGAAUAAAAGUUUAUUUGCUUCAUGGUUCUGGAGGUUGGAAAGUGCAAGAGCUUAGUGAUGGCAUCUGCUUAGCAUCUGAUGAGGACACCAUAGUGCAUCUUAACAUCAGGAUAGGCAUCACACGACAUGACAGAGCAAACACGCCAGCUCAGAUUCUUCCUUUUAUGAAGUCAUUUAUGCCAUCAUGGGGGCCCCCUUCUCAAGACCUCAUCUAGUCCUAAUUACCUCUCAGUGGCCCCACCUCUAAAUACCAUGGAAAUGAAUCUAGGGAUUAAGAUUCUAGCACAUGGUCUUUUGGGGACACGUUCAAACCAGAACGGUAUGCACUGUGAGCCAGCACUGCUAAAAGCUCCCUGCUUAGGGGAGUCACUGUUUCAGAGAAUUAAAGAACCAAGGAAGGCCAGUUCCUGAAGGACUUUGACUACGCUGCCUUUAAGUCUCUGCAUAAGCUCCUGUGCCUGUGGGUCUCUCAGAGUUACUUUGAAAGGAGCAGAAGGAAACAGAAAGAAGGAGAAGGAGGAGAGACAAGAGGGGGCAAAGCACCUGUCCUUCCUCUCAUUUGUCUUCACUACACCAAUCUAUGGACUCCAAAGCCCAGAUGUCCUCAUCCCUGGGUUUUAGUUCUGAGAGUGGACUCUAUUCCAGUCCCAAAGACAAGAGGUUGUUCCGCCCCCUUCGAUCCUCAUUCCAUUUGCUCUUGCUCAGUUCAUUCUUAGGAACGAGUUGGUAUGACACUAGGUUAGUCGGGUUUCCAUCACUAUAAUGAAAUAACUGAGACAGUCAACUUUUCAAGAGAAAGACUUCUUUUGGAUCAUGGUUUUAGAGGUUCUAGGGCAAGAUCAAGGGCACCCAUUGAGUGGCUCCCAUGGCUUUGGACCUGCUGAGAGUCAGCAUGUCCCAACAGGAACAUAGGGCCAAGCAAACUUGCUAACAUCACUGCCAGAGAGCAAAAAGGGAGAGGAAGGGGACAGAGUUCCACCAUCUCCUUUGAGGAUAUUCCCCCAGUAACCUGAGGACUUCCCACAAAGCCCCACCUCUCCAAGGUUGCACCACCUCCCACUAGUGCCACCCUAGGGACCAAAGCUUUCCACAUAGGCCAUUGGGAGCUACUAAAGAUCCAAACUACAGCAAUCACCAUUUAAACUUAUUCAAUCUUCUUUGAGCAAGGAGUAUAGAACAUGGUGGGAGGCACUUUAAAGACAGGGUGUCCCACAGGGGGCCAGGCAUUUGCACCUGUCCCCAAAUCUCCCUCCUGGAAGGUGGCUGUGAUCUUGGCAUACAUAUUCACAAGGCCACCUCCAAGAGUACCAACAGUGAGUUCCUGGAGGGCUCAAUGACCUAUGAGGUAUGACUCAGGCUGAGUCCUGCAAGUAGACCCUCACCAGGCAGACCAAACCCUACCAGACUGCACGAGGGAGGUGACCCUGUCUCUCCGGCACUAACAGGGUGUGAGCCGGGUCCAGCACCUUGAGAGCCGACUCAUAGUUGGGCAAAGUGAAAAAUGAAUCGUUUUUUAUAUUAUGAUUUCCUCAUCUUAUUAUGAUCACUCUUCCUCUCCACCUCCACCCGCCAUGGAAAAUCAACACAAGGGCUGCAUUUGGGGGAUUCUCUGUUAUCAAUAUCCUUAUUCUUAAAAAAGAAAGAAAAAAAGAAAUGAGGGGAAAAAAGCCCUCCACUUUGCUGUCUGCUAACCCAAAAAUGCACGAGGAGCCAGGCGAUGUCCCUUCCCACCCCAUGUGUCUGCCCAGUGCCAUAUAUUUUACAUGCCUGCACAAUGCGUUUUAUGAGGCAUAUAAAAGCCAGACGGGAAUUAUCUCCUUCUCCUGUACGGGCUGUCUCUUUUUGGGGGAGAGAUAACAGAGACCUAUUUCAUUUUGCUGCUUGCUACUGGAUGCUCUGCCAUAAAUUGAGAAAAGAAGCUCUUUUUGAAAAAUGCUUUCUUUGACCCUAUUGUCACUGGGAAACCUCAAUGAGAGAAAUACCAUUCUCUAUAGGAUCUCGGUUCAGAGCAGAGCCAGGAGGUGUGGGGGGAGCUGUUGUUUUUUUCUCUUCUGUUCUCUCCUUCCUCUCUCUCCACUGGAGAGAACAGAAGAUGUCCACUGAGGAGUGGUCUCUCCCUUAGAGGAGGGGCUGUCAGUGGACAUAAAGAACCCAGGGAGCAAGUCCUGGCUAUGCUGAACCCCAACAUCCUCCCAUCACCCCGUUUCAGAGAGACAGGGCUGCAGCCCCCUGUGGGAAUACAUUCACUCCGCCCAUGCUACAUCCAGGCACGCUCAACGCACUAUCAAAUAUGCACCAGCAAUAUUUCAUUAUCGGGUCCUUUGCAGCCCAGUGCACGCCUGGGUGAGCCUAGAAAUUAAACUGUACUUUCACCUCUAAAGAAUGCCGUCCCUGCCGGUGCUGAAGGGGAGAGAUUGCCAGGCCACCAGGCUGUGGAGUGAUGAGAGAGCAGGGCAGGGGCCUAGCAGGCAGAAGCCUUCUGCUGGCCUUGGUGGAGAGGUCUGGGAGUCGUCCAUCUCCCCAGAGCUGAACAGGCUCCUGGGCAGAGGACACGGGACACCCUGAGGGAAAGAAUGGGAAAGGUCCUCCUGCAGAACCCCUGCAGGAGCUUGGAAUCUCUUCCCAUAAGGUGCGUCUCUGCCCUCUCCAGCAUCCUCCACCUAGAUCCAGACACCCCAUUCUACCCUCCGUCUGCCUCGUUGGUCAUCUAUGUUGUCCCCAGUCAUGUCAGGGGACACCAACAAUGUCCAAUGUCAACAACAACAACAACAACAAAAUAAUGUCAACAAACAAACACAAGAAGAGCUAGAAAGCCUACUUUGCUACCAUCACCAUUUUGUUGGGACUGGGCUUGCCACUGAGCAUCACUUUGGGCCUGGUGGGUCACUGCCAUGUGGAGAGGAGAAAUGCAGGGCCAGGGCACUUGCCCUACACAAGCCAGCCAGAGCCGGGAGGGAUGGGGAAGCUCAGAGGGGACAGGACCUUAGAGUUCUCAAAAUUCAGGACUGGUCCUAUCACUCUUCUGCUCAAAAUCUUCCAGAGGUUUCUACCACUUAGAGUCCAUCCUGGAGUCCACUGUGGCCUGGUCCCUGGUAACUCCCUGACCUCAGCUUUAACCGUUCUCUCCCUCAUUCACUGUGUUCCAGCCUCUCUGGUCUCUCGGAUGUUACUAGAGCUUCCUCCCCGCUACCCGCAACCUCCAGCAAGACUCUGUCUCGGGGACAUGGCAGAGACACUUGUCCUUCUCAGGACAAAGACAUCAGGGCCAAUAUAUCUUCUGGGCAAGAAGAAUUUACAUCAAGAAGUACUAGGAGCCAGGUGCCGUGGCACAUGCUUGUAAUCCCAGGGGCUCAGGAGGCUGAGACAGGAGGAUCGCAAAUUCAAAGCCAGCCUCAGCCAAAAGCUAUGUGCUAAUUAACUCAUGAGAUCCUGUCUCUAAAUGAAAUACAAAAUAGUGCUGGGGAUGUGGCUCAGUGGUCAAGUGCCCUUGAGUUUAAUCCCCAGUACCAAAAAAUAAAAACAAAAGAGGACCUUCAUGAGAGCAAUGGUCUGUGGCUGAUAAUUCUCAGACAUCUGAUAACCUGGGCAGAGUGUCAGGAUCAACCCGUACCAAGAUUUGCUUCUAGAGACCCACUCACUCCACGUCCAGCACUGAUGUAGAAUCCUGGGGAACUUGGAGAUAAGUCUAAGUGGCAAGGGGUCUUCUCUCAACUUGCUGGACUCUUAAGACUUAAACAUGGGAAAGUUUAAGAGAAAAAUAAAAUAUAUAUGACAUGUUCUGGAACAGAUAAUGAGUGGCGUGGAUGAUCAGGAAGAGAUGUCAGUUGUGCCUGGGGGAUUAGGAAAGGUAAUGGGAGAUCGAUAACUGGAAAUGAUCCAUUAAAUAUGGAGAGGAUUUGCAGAGGAAAAGAGAGAUCUAGAAGGUUCUCCUGAGAUGAGGUCUUACUUGAGUUUUCCCCAUUUCACAGAUGGGAAGAGGAUACCACAUAGGUAGGCACGCUCAGAACUGUGUUUAAAAUGACCUAGAAUUUCAAGGAUUUGACCAAUCUGUUUUGUGUCAUGGAUAUGGUCCUCUCCUGACUCCCAGGGAGAACCUCUCACAGGGGAGCCACACGCGUUUUCUGCUCUAACAGGACACUUAUAGUUGAGAAAUGCAUAUGCAUCCCUUCUUUAGCUCUGAGCCAAAGCAAUAACAGAAUAUGAGUGACUUGCUUGCUUCCUGGGAUGGAGAAGAGAUGGUGGAAUGGUCCAUCCUAAGAGAUGACCUGCUGUGGCCAAGACAAGUCUAGGCAUCAGCUCUGCCAACAGAAGGCAAGCAGACUCUUCCCUUCUUUCUAUGGGUCAUGAUUAUUUGAGUAAUGACUGAGAGUUCUGAGAGCACGCUUCCCAAGCUGGGAGCUGUAGGGACGACCCACCUCUUUCUUCCCUUGCCUUUUGAAGCACCAGUGGAUAAGGGGCUGCAGGCGAUCCUUUACGUUGGGAAUGUUAAUGCAAGCAGGCUAAUAUCAUGGUAAGUUGAAACCUCUCAGGGGUCUCUCUAUGUAUGAUAUUCAGCCCUGCUCUUAUCAAUGAGCACAUCUAUAUCGAGCUGUUUUAAGGAAGGAAGGGAUGGAGUUAAUCAUAAGUUUCCAUUUGAUCAGGUUCUGUAAUGAGGUUUUGGUUAUGGACUUUGUAUUUCUAUGCAUGUUAAUAGACAAAUACACAGGCAAUAAAUAUUGUUAUAAAUAUGAUGAGAUGGACAGAUAGAUACAGAUAGAUAGAUAGAUGGUAAUAGAUACAGAUAUAGAUAGACGGAAGAUGAAUGACGCCUAGCCAUAUUUAUGCAUUCCACAGCCCAACUUCAUUUAAUAGAAGCGUCUGUGCUUUCAGAGCAUUUAAACAUGCAGACACAAGCCACUGCAGUGGAUGCCGGAAGGACAUUGUGUCCCACCUGAAUGCAGGUAAGUCUGGAGUCCAAAGAAGCCCCAGUCAUCUGUGUCCACAGAGGACAGCCAGCUUUGUAUCCUCGGGUGCAGAACUUUGGGCCAAAGAUCUGAGUGUGUUGGGCUUCUCAGAGGUCACUGCAGCUGGAGGCCAAAAUCUCAUUAAACAGUUCUUACCAACUGUCUUAAAAGGCAGGACUCGUGGCCUCCAGCCCUGGGGGAUGCUGUGAUUCUGCACAUUUAUUGACAGAAGCCAGGUAUCUCUGCUGACACCUACCCUGGCUUCCUCAGAUCUCCUAGCCAGCCUCCCCCAGCCCGAAGACACAAGGCUCAACUUCAAGGCUCCUAAAACUGUAAGGGAUGAUGCCAACCUGGGGCUUCCUCAAAGCUGGCUGGCUGUGUGGCUCUCCUGCUCCCGUCCCCAGUAAAGAUCAUGAAGAAGAGGGGAAUGAGAAGGGCAGAAAGGGCAAAUUCCUGAGCCCGUUGAAGAAUUUAGCCAGUGGCUAGCAAAGAGAGGAAAAUGCUUUAGAGGAAGGGGAAUUUAUUCACGGACACCUGUCAGAAGCUGUCAUUCCCUGGCUGAACUAUAGUCUGAAUUUUACUAUGAUAUAAAUCAGUUCCUCCUGGACUUAAUAACUCUUCUUUAUAGGUUUCUUCCCACUCAUAAAUAAAACUCAUUCCAUAUGUAUAUACUGCAAAAGGCCUGCUUGACUUGCAGCACUGUUCAUUGGGAGAGGUAGGUGCCAGCCCACAUUUUGUAAUGGCCAUGGGGCUUUCCAAUGGUUCCACCUUCAGGGAGAGACCUCCCUUCCCUGGGACAACGGGUAUGUCCUCUCAAAGAGCCAGGUGACUUCCAGGAUGGGUCCAAGUGUGGCAGAGCUGGAGGUCACCUUGCUGGAAAGCGGGGUGGGGGUGUCAGGCAGGGCUGCAAUGUGCCUGACCAGUUCUCCUGGCAGAUUUGUGAAGUUGCAGAUUCUGAAGAGAUGGGCCAGCUAACCUCUGCCAGAUCCCAGGGAUGGUCUGGAACGUUCCACUGAUUGGGGAGGCCCUUAUCCACUCCAUUCCUCAAGCUCUCCAUGGAGCAGUGAACUUCAGCACCCUGACUCACAACAACCCCAUCCUGGUUGGAUUUUUGGACACCAGCUCCAUUCUCUUCUAGUGUGGUGAGAGAGCAAACUUAAUUUUUAAAGUUAUGCGCUACAGUAUUCUCGGGGUUUUGUACAUUCUCAGAAAGAGAUAAAUAUUCAAAUUCUAAUUUUAAAAACAUAGUUGGAAAAUGACGAUAGAAACCAUCUUGUCCAAUAUCCACCCAAGGAAGUAAACACCCCCACAUCCACCCCAGCAGAUGGGCACUCGGCCUUCCUAUUUCUCUUAGAAGGAGAAUUAUAAAAGGAUUUAGCUUUUAUUUUAUUUUAAACACAACUCUUAAACUUUAAAGUAAAUCACAAAUAACUUUGUUCAGAUAACAUUCUGAAAUUUUAUUGUCAUUAAGAUCUGCAAGCACUCCAUGAGAAUUCAUAAUUUUAGGAGGAAAUACAUCAAUACAGUAUUUAAUGAUAUGGAUUAUCUGCUUUUGAAAUAUACCAGGUGCUGUAAUUACAAAACUCAAACUAGUAAAAAAAAAACAUUGAAGACAAAUCUGGUAACCUCCUGAGAUAAGAGCUGUGAAAAUCAAAAUCUGUGUUCACAAAACCAAAACUAAAACCAAAACCAAAAAAAAAAAAAAAAAAAAAAAACCACCAGAAAAUAACGUGUUGGCAAGGAUGUGGAGAAAUUGGAACCCUCGUACAUUGAAUCUAAAUAGAUUCAGCUUCUGGGGGAAAAUCUGGCAGUCCCUCAAGUUGUUAAACAUAGAAUUUCCAUAUGCUUCAACGAUCCCACACCUAGGAUCCACCCAAAAGGGUUGACAACAGGGACUCAGACAAAUACAUCUACACACACCUUCACAGCGGUGAUGCUUGCAAUCAAGAAAAGGUGGAAAUAGCCCAAAUGUCCAUCAGCAGAGAGAUGGGUAAACAAGAGAGGGUAUGUGAGUACCCUGAAAUGUUUUCAUUCCAGAAAUGAAGGGAGAAGUGCAGAACCGAGACAUGUUACGAUGUGGAUGGAGGGAAAACAUCAUGAGAAGUGAAAGAAGCCAGACACAACAGCUCAUGUAUUAUAUAAUCCCAUUUAUAGGAAAUGUCGAGAACAGGUAAAUCCAUAAGGUCAGAAAGCAAAGCAAUGGUUCCCAGGGGCUGGAGCAAUGGGAGAAUGAGAAGUGAUCGCUUGAUGUGUACAGAGCCUCUUUUGGAAUAAUAAAAGUAUUCGUGAGCUAAAGUAGAGGUGGGGGUGAGCAGCCCUGGGAAAGUCCAGAAUGAAAUGUAUAAUCUUAUGUUUUGUGAACCUCUCCUUAAUACAAAGAAUGUAAAAACAAGCACACACACAAAAAUGAUCUAUGAAGCCAGAUAUGGGGGCGCAUGUCUGUAAUCCCAGGGACUCAGAGGCUGAGGCAAGAGGAUUGAGAGUUCAAAACAAGCUGCAGCAACAUAGUGAGGCCCUAAGCAACUUAGUGUGAUCACAUCUCAAAAUAAUAAACAAACAAACAAAAGAAAAGAAAGAUCUGGGGAUGUGGCUCAGAGGUUAGGCAUCUCUGGGUUUCAAUCCCUGGUACCACUCCCCACCCCCGCCCCACCCCCCCCACCCCCCCAAAAAAAUCUAAGAUCAAGUUUCAUCUCUGAGACAAAUCUUCCCUACAUUUUCAAGCAAGUUUCUUCAUGUUUGUGGGCCCAAGCUUUUUUUUUAUUGACAUACAACCCUGGUAGCACUGGUCUGCCUAGUAGCCCAUCUCAACACAGUGCUAGAUCUGCAAUAAUCAGAAGGUUGAUACCCAAAAAAACUAGAAAACACUUUAGCAUUUCUGGGUUAAUACAAUCAGUUGAAAUUGCUUCUAAGAAUUCUCUCUCUCGCUUUCUAAAAAAAUUCGUUUUCAAAAGAAAAAUAUCCUCCUUUCCCUCCCCUACACACAAGAUCGCCAUCAGACACCAAACCAGGGCCAGAGUUAUAAACGGCCCUGCACUUGUGGUUGUGAAUAAAGUUUUCCUGAAACACAGUCACACCCAUUUACUGCUGUAGUCCCUGAGACUGCUGGCAUGCUAUCAGGACAGAGCCGAGUCCUUCCAACUGUGGUCCCCAAACCCCUAAACUUACCAUCUUGCCACUUACAUAAAAAAGUCAUUGGCCCCUAGUAUAAAAUAAUGUAAUAAGAAACUACCAUUAAAUUACAAACUCAUGGAAAAGACAAUAAAAUAACAUAAAAAGCAAGAUGAAACCCUAAAGGAAAGAAAUAAAUUGUCUGACCAUUCACAAACAGUAAAUAACUUUGGAAUCAAGAACAUAACAGACAUCUCUGUAAAUCAAACAACUGGCAUUAGCAAAGGAGCCCACAUGGUCAUCCGUGAACGUAGGUGACCAAAAAUUAAAUAAAAUUUAAUAAUAGAGAGACGGAGAGAUUAAAUUGGCAAAUAUGACUUAAAAAUAAUACCUGGCCUCUUAAUGUGUGUUAAUCUCACUCUCUCUCUUUUAAACUUAAAGGAUUCUUUUGGGAAAAGCUGUCCCCUGGGGUGAUGACACAAGUAUUUGGAGUUCAGAGAUCCUUGCAGUUUAAUACCAGCUUCUUUUUAAAAUCGAGAAAAAUUAAAUUUAAAGUGGGACUCUGUGUGAUCCUGUUUUCCUAGAAUACAGCCCGACUGUCCCUUCUGUCUAUAGACGUGCUCAGAAGCUUCUAGAAUGAUGUGAAGCUAUUUGCAGAUAGCAUGACCUGGGUGACUUUCUACUGUCUGCUUUCUGUCUUCCUGCAAGGCUCCAGGCAAAUAUGCUAAGAUGUUAUCUUUUGGGUGGUACCAUGAGAAUAAUGGCCACCUUCUUCGAUUGUAUAUUUUUAGAUGUCUCUUAUACAAAACUUUAAAUAAUAUUUUUAUUGAUUUGGUGAUGGUGUUUUUGUAAAUUGCCCACGGUACCUAGAACAAGGAAGGCACAUAAUCCAUGUUCAUUAAAAACUGUAUUGAUUUCUGUUUUCUCAAAUGUCCAAGGGACUGUUCACUCUUCUCAAUGACAAUAAGAGUUUGAAAUAUUGUUGACACAGUUAGCUGUAAUAUAUUUCCUACCUUAUUAAUUGCAAUAGAAAAACAACCACAUCCCUUUGUAAUAACAACAAAAGAAAAAGCAAUUUAAAUAGUUGUAAGAUGCCCCAAAGAUUUGCCGUGUUGUGACAAACUACAAUAUCCAAGGCAUCGCCACCCAUUUUCUCCCCAUUUCUCCCGCAGAGUGGCUGGCCACAAACACACUUCCCCAGAUUCUCAAAAACUCAAUCAUAUGCAGCCCACGCAGUUCUGGCUGUUCCAUUUCUUUCUCCAACUUUUCUCGAGCUAUUUAUUUCUCUUAGUUGCAGUUUUCUAAUGAUCACAUCUUGAACUUUCUAGGACUCAUCAUUCUUUCUACCAACGACCUAGAUCAACACAACAGGAAAGCCCUGUAACACAGAAGGAAGAAAAAAUCAGGAGACAUGCAGGCAUAAGGACUGAGGGUAGUUGUUCCUGCAGCUCCGAAUUUAGUUACGACUGUGCUCCCUGCAAGGAGACAGCAACUUAUCAAAAUCAUUCAGAAACAGAUACAGAUGAUAUAUAAUUAAGCAUUCACAUGAGUGUGCUAUUUGUCUAUUGAACAGAGUGAUCAAUUGGAAUGGGCUGGGAUAAUUGGAGAAUCUGGGUCUCGUGCUUGAUCCCAAAGGAAGCUAAGACUUCAAUAAGGGGGGAAAAAGGUGACUUCUGAUGAGAAAAGUGCUUCAGCAAAGUUCAAGGCAGACAGGGGCAUAUCAGGCUGUUGUCCCAGGGAUGGAAACCACCUGACCAGUGGGGAGUAGAAAAGGCGUGUUGAAUGGAGUAGAGCAAGAGAAAAGAUCAUGACCUGGGGUACAAAACCCUAGUGCCACCAUGACCUUAAGAAGUCAGUAUUCACAAAUAUCUACUAAUCGCUAGGGUCCAUCCCCAUUCACUGAUGGGGGGGCUUAUAUUAGGGGAUCACCUUUUCCCCUUCUCUUCUUGUUUAGAACCUCUGCCCAUGUUUUUUGGCUGCUGAAUGAAUCCCUCACCUCCACCUUUUACUCCAUAAAGAUAAGGAGGUACUACACUGGAAGGGGUAGCACAGGUAUUUCUUUUUUAAAUUUUUUUCUUUUCAGUUAUGCAUGACGGAAAAUGAAUUUUGACAUAUUAUACAUAGAUGGAGUAUAAUGUCCCAUUCUUAUGGUUGUAGGUGAUGUGGGGUUCCACUGGUCGUGUGUUCACAUAUGAACACAGGACAGUUAUGUCCAAUUCAUUCCACUGUCUUUCCUAUUCCAUUGUUUUUCCUAUUUGCUUCCCUUCAUUCCCCUGUGUCUAAUACAAAGUACUUCUAUUCUUCCCUCCCCAUCCCUUUAUUGUGACUUAGCAUCCACAUAUCAGAGAGAACAUUAUGCCUUUGGAUUUGGGGGAUUGGCUUAUUUCACUUAGCAAGAUAGACUCCAGUUCCAUCCAUUUACUGGCAAAUUUCAUCAUCAUUUCAUUCUUCUUUAUGGCUGAGUAAUACACCAUUGUGUGUAUGUACCACAUUUUCUUUAUCCUCUCAUUUGUUAAGGGUAUGUAGGUUGGUUCCAUAGCUUGGCUAUUGUGAAUGGAGCUGCUAUAAACAUCGAUGUGGCCACAUCACUAUAGUAUGAAAUUUUAAGUCCUUUGGAUGGAUGUAUGUUUAGGAGUGGGAUAACUGGGUUAAAUGGUAGUUAUUUAAAGUUUUCUGAGGAAUCUCCAUACAGAGUGGUUGCACCAGUUUGCAGUCCCACCACCAAUGGAUGAGUGCCCCUUUCCCCCACAUUCUCACCAACACCUAUUGUUACUUGUAUUCUUGAUCAUUGCCAUUCUGACUGGAGUGAGAUGAGAUCUCAGUGUAGUUUUAAUUGGCAUUUCUCUAAUUAGCGCAGUAAGGAAUCACAGGAAUGAAAAGAACACGCCACAUAGAAAAUUGGAAAGAAAAGAGAGGGAAGAAAGUAGCUCCUGUCAGCUCCUCAACCUCCUCCCCGAUGGAGCCUCCCAUGGCUGACAGAGACUCCAGCAUCCCCAAAGACUGCCUUGUGGAGAAACAGCCGUCCACAUGGCCUGCCGCUCUCCUGGGCUCCAGGCUGGUCUGCCCACUGCCUUGAACAUCUAAGAGACCUUCUCUUGAACGUCUCGGGAGUGAACCAUUGAACUUGGUGUGGCCAACACAGAGCCCCUUUCUCCCACCUCUGCGCCUGCUCUUUCUGCUGUUUUCUCACUACAUGCCUCUGGGCAUCCAAGUUGGCCCUCAAGCCUCACAACCCAGUGGCUGCCAGGUGACAGCAAUUCCUCUUCCAGAGCAUCUCCUGCUCCCAGUUCAACCCUUUCCCCGCCAUCGCCUUGCCCACGUCUUGCUAUGUCUAUAGCAGGUGUCUUCAUACCCUUCUCCCCGCCUCGGCCUUCUCUCCUACCCCUUCACCACGUCCUUGAUGUGGUGGCCAGGACUGGCUUUCUUGUGCCACAGGUCUGAUCACAUCACGUCUCUGUUUUAAGAACCCAGGUGGUUCCCCUCUGCAUCAGAAGGCCCAGAUUCCCGAGUCUGAUCUUUUACAUCCUCUGAAUUCUAACUCUAUCCAUGUUUUUGGCCUCAUCUCUCUCUCUUUCCCCUCAUUUUCCCUGUUUAACCACUAACGUAUCAUUCCAUGUAUCUCUCUCUCUCUCCCCAUAUAUAGUUGUGGAUGAACUUUUAUUUUUAUUUAUGUAGUUUUAUGUGGUGCUGAGAAUUGAACUCGGUGCCUCACACAGGCUAGACAAGCACUCUACCCUGAGCCACAGCUUACCAAGGAUGUCCCUUUAGCCACAGUAUGUGCCCUGUCACUCUUGUUUCUCUCUUCCUACUAAGAUAUUUCAUUUCCCUCCAGGCUCAGUUCAAACAUCUCACCAUUCUUCUUAAAAUGCUGCAUCCCUCAGCUGGAAUAGACUCGAAGACAAGGCACUUUGGUGAGGGAAUGAAUGAUUCACCAAUAAUGAGAAAAGAGAUUAAUAAAAGAUGGAAUUCUCGCCAUCUUGGUGGAAUUCUCCUGCAUCCCAUGCCAUUUUCUCUUGCCCAGCCUGAGCUCCCCCAGAGCCUGUCUGUUCGAUCGAUCCGCAGCAUCCACCGCAGUAUGAACGAUGCUCCACUUCAAUGUAAGAUUUGGUUUUCUUGUGGGCCCUUUAGCACAGGGCACGUAAAGACCAGCGAUAGGUUGGGCUUCAGCACUGUGUUCUGAGUCUUCAGUCUGACAUUCCUGUAUGGAGAAACACUAGCAAGUUCAAAAGCAAAUCAAACCUGAAUGCAAUAUUCAGAAGGCUCUCUAAGACUCUGCGCUGAGACCAAAAUGUUAAAUGCACAUGGAAACCCUCUUUGCUCUCCACAGUGGGCAUGUGCCAGGGGACAGGCUCCAGAAUGGCGUGACCUUUGUGGAUUCUCAUUUUCUGAGCCCUCUCACCAAACCUGGCCUCCAGGCUUGGAGGACUCAAGGGUGUCUGAUCUUUGACCCUGCCCCAAAUCCUCAAGUUUAUAAGGAUCAUUCCUUCAUAAGUGCAUAAACAAUAAAGUGACAAUGGUGUCAUUACUGCCUUUCUCUGAAAGAACCCUUUACCCUGGAUGGAUGAGGAACCAACUACCCCCAGGGAAAUGAAUACCAUAAAAAAGUUUGGAUUUGUGCUUGGGGAGAAUAUGAG
rnacentral:lncRNA from 1 species